rnacentral:rRNA from 1 species
GACGAACGCUGGCGGCGUGCUUAAUACAUGCAAGUCGAACGGAAAGGCCCUGCUUGCAGGGUACUCGAGUGGCGAACGGGUGAGUAACACGUGGGUGAUCUGCCCUGCACUUCGGGAUAAGCCUGGGAAACUGGGUCUAAUACCGGAUAGGAGCCAUUUUUAGUGUGAUGGUUGGAAAGUUUUUUCGGUGUAGGAUGAGCUCGCGGCCUAUCAGCUUGUUGGUGGGGUAAUGGCCUACCAAGGCGGCGACGGGUAGCCGGCCUGAGAGGGUGGACGGCCACAUUGGGACUGAGAUACGGCCCAGACUCCUACGGGAGGCAGCAGUGGGGAAUAUUGCACAAUGGGCGCAAGCCUGAUGCAGCGACGCCGCGUGGGGGAGGACGGCCUUCGGGUUGUAAACUCCUUUCGCUAGGGACGAAGCUUUUUGUGACGGUACCUAGAUAAGAAGCACCGGCUAACUACGUG